GAAUUUGGGGUUUACGUUUGAAGGAGAUGAAAUUUUUAUAUUCCUCGAGGAUACGUGAAUUCCCUUUUUGGGAAACACGACUUCCACGGCCCUAUCCUAUAGGCCUAUAGUUGUUACAGAACUCCACAAUUCCGGGGGAAAUAGAAUAUUAAAUUAUGUUGUUUGAAAAGAUGACCAAUCAUCGUGAUGAAACGGUUGGAAUUUCUGUGGGAAUUUUGAGAAUGAACGUUAGAAUUUUUGACCAAUGCAAAGAGCAUUUUCAACAAUUCCGUGCGCUCAAACGUUAUGAUUUUGAAUGGAUUUCUGGAAGAUUAAUCGGACCUUCUCCAGGAUGGCAUGCCUCGACUUUCAAAUAGGCUCGGUGAGGUAACUAAUUGCUCAAGUUUUAGUGCCUGAACGUUUAAUUGUCAAGAUCGUGAUCAGAAGUGGAAAUAUGGGCAACAGCAGAUGUCAUACCGGGCUCACGUUCUAGUAUUUCCUUUCACGAUGAUUCAUCAUUAUCAUUAUCCUUUGUUGGUAGCGAGUUUCACAACUCUAAUAUCU